GUUAUUUGUAGAUAGAUAUGACAUCAUUCUUAUAAACGGGUUUCUGGGUUUCGUUUCCUUUUAGAUUUUACAUUGACGACAAACCAGAUUCUUUGUUUAAUCGGUAAUUGUUGAAAAAUGAGAGAAAAUUUUGGAUAUUCUGCAAUACCCUUUAAAAUCUAGUGCUUGUUUGCUGGUCCAUUUAGUAAUUUUGGUGGCCAAGCUUUCAUAUUUUAAAUGGUAAAUUAAUAGUAUUAUCUUUCACUUAGGUUUGUAAAGGAAUACCCCUUGUGAAGUUUAUUUUUGUUCCUAGGAAAAAAAAAAAU
rnacentral:misc_RNA from 1 species